rnacentral:rRNA from 1 species
UACGGGGGGGGCAAGCGCUGUUCGGAAUUACUGGGCGUAAAGGGCUCGUAGGCGGCCAACUAAGUCGGAUGUGAAAUCCCCAGGCUUAACCUGGGAACUGCAUCCGAUACUGGAUGGCUUGAAUCCGGGAGAGGGAUGCAGAAUUCCAGGUGUAGCGGUGAAAUGCGUAGAUAUCUGGAGGAAUACCGGUGGCGAAGGCGGCAUCCUGGACCGGCAUUGACGCUGAGUGAGCGAAAGCCAGGGGAGCAAACGGG